UACGUAGGGGGCUAGCGUUGUCCGGAAUCAUUGGGCGUAAAGAGCGUGUAGGCGGCCCGGUAAGUCCGCUGUGAAAGUCGGGGGCUCAACCCUCGAAUGCCGGUGGAUACUGUCGGGCUAGAGUGCGGAAGAGGCGAGCGGAAUUCCUGGUGUAGCGGUGAAAUGCGCAGAUAUCAGGAGGAACACCGGUGGCGAAGGCGGAUCUCUGGGCCAUUACUGACGCUGAGGAGCGAAAGCGUGGGGAGCGAACAGG
rnacentral:rRNA from 1 species